GGUUUCUUGAUUAUGAUUUAGGAAAUUUAACCUGCCCACUGAGUAAUAUUGAAGGGCCGCAGUAUUUUGACUGUGCAAAGGUAGCAUAAUCAUUAGUCUUUUAAUUGAAGGCUGGCAUGAAUGGUUGGACGAGGUAAAUUCUGUCUUAUGAUAAUUAGAAUUGAAAUUAGAAGUUAAGUUAAAAUACUUAAAUAUUAUUAGGGGACGAGAAGACCCUAUAGAGUUUUAUAAAAUAAAUAAUUGAUUGAGUUUUUUAAUAAUUUUUGGUUAAUUAUUAGGUUUAUUUGGUUGGGGUGAUUUAAAGAUAUAUUAAACUCUUUAUAAAAGUUAAUAAUUAUUUUUAGUUUUGUGAUCCGUAUUUUGUGAUUAAAAGAUCAAAUUACCUUAGGGAUAACAGCAUAAUUCUUUUAGAGAGUUCAUAUCGAAAAAGGAGAUUGUGACCUCGAUGUUGGAUUAAGAUGAAUUUUGGGUGUAGAUGUUCAAAUUAUUAGGUCUGUUCGACCUUUAAAUUCUUACA
rnacentral:rRNA from 1 species